rnacentral:lncRNA from 1 species
UAGGGACAAAAUAAAUUGAUUUUUUCAACAAUUUUUUUUUUAAUUGGAAGUUGGAAGAGAGUUUUGGAAAAUGUUUUCCUUAAAUUUUGAAGGGAAGUCAUUUUCCUUAAAUUUGAGGAAAAUGAGUUGAUUUGGAAAAUAUUUUCCAAAACAUUUAACCCAACCAAACAUGAGAAAAUUGGAAAACAUUUUCCGGAAAAUGUUUUCCUUCAUACCAAAC